CCCCUAGAACUCGACUAGCCUCGUACCGAUCAAGUUUCUUUAAGAACCUGACCUCACCCUCUUAGAACCUCCUCUAAACUUCUGAUUCUCUUUCUUUAGGACCCUUACAACCCUUGUUAGGACCAGAUAAGGCUUUGUCUUAAAUCCCAAAGCCUUGUCCUAAAACUAAGAUAGGUUGUAAGAAAGAAAGGAGAGCAACAGGAGAGAAAUUGAAAAC
rnacentral:lncRNA from 1 species